GGAGGGGUGUCUGAGUGGUUUAAGGAGAUGGUCUUGAAAACCAUUAAGGGUGAAAGCUCUUCGUGGGUUCGAAUCCCACCCCCUCCG
rnacentral:tRNA from 1 species